rnacentral:rRNA from 1 species
AGAGCACUGUUUCGGCAAGGGGGUCAUCCCGACUUACCAACCCGAUGCAAACUGCGAAUACCGGAGAAUGUUAUCACGGGAGACACACGGCGGGUGCUAACGUCCGUCGUGAAGAGGGAAACAACCCAGACCGCCAGCUAAGGUCCCAAAGUCAUGGUUAAGUGGGAAACGAUGUGGGAAGGCCCAGACAGCCAGGAUGUUGGCUUAGAAGCAGCCAUCAUUUAAAGAAAGCGUAAUAGCUCACUGGUCGAGUCGGCCUGCGCGGAAGAUGUAACGGGGCUAAACCAUGCACCGAAGCUGCGGCAGCGACACUAUGUGUUGUUGGGUAGGGGAGCGUUCUGUAAGCCUGUGAAGGUGGCCUGUGAGGGUUGCUGGAGGUAUCAGAAGUGCGAAUGCUGACAUAAGUAACGAUAAAGCGGGUGAAAAGCCCGCUCGCCGGAAGACCAAGGGUUCCUGUCCAACGUUAAUCGGGGCAGGGUGAGUCGACCCCUAAGGCGAGGCCGAAAGGCGUAGUCGAUGGGAAACAGGUUAAUAUUCCUGUACUUGGUGUUACUGCGAAGGGGGGACGGAGAAGGCUAUGUUGGCCGGGCGACGGUUGUCCCGGUUUAAGCGUGUAGGCUGGUUUUCCAGGCAAAUCCGGAAAACCAAGGCUGAGGCGUGAUGACGAGGCACUACGGUGCUGAAGCGACAAAUGCCCUGCUUCCAGGAAAAGCCUCUAAGCAUCAGGUAACAUCAAAUCGUACCCCAAACCGACACAGGUGGUCAGGUAGAGAAUACCAAGGCGCUUGAGAGAACUCGGGUGAAGGAACUAGGCAAAAUGGUGCCGUAACUUCGGGAGAAGGCACGCUGAUAUGUAGGUGAAGCGACUUGCUCGUGGAGCUGAAAUCAGUCGAAGAUACCAGCUGGCUGCAACUGUUUAUUAAAAACACAGCACUGUGCAAACACGAAAGUGGACGUAUACGGUGUGACGCCUGCCCGGUGCCGGAAGGUUAAUUGAUGGGGUUAGCGGUAACGCGAAGCUCUUGAUCGAAGCCCCGGUAAACGGCGGCCGUAACUAUAACGGUCCUAAGGUAGCGAAAUUCCUUGUCGGGUAAGUUCCGACCUGCACGAAUGGCGUAAUGAUGGCCAGGCUGUCUCCACCCGAGACUCAGUGAAAUUGAACUCGCUGUGAAGAUGCAGUGUACCCGCGGCAAGACGGAAAGACCCCGUGAACCUUUACUAUAGCUUGACACUGAACAUUGAGCCUUGAUGUGUAGGAUAGGUGGGAGGCUUUGAAGUGUGGACGCCAGUCUGCAUGGAGCCGACCUUGAAAUACCACCCUUUAAUGUUUGAUGUUCUAACGUUGGCCCGUAAUCCGGGUUGCGGAC